rnacentral:rRNA from 1 species
AGCGAACGCUGGCGGUAGGCCUAACACAUGCAAGUCGAACGGCAGCACAGUAAGAGCUUGCUCUUACGGGUGGCGAGUGGCGGACGGGUGAGGAGUACAACGGAAUCUACUUUUUCGUGGGGGAUAACGUAGGGAAACUUACGCUAAUACAGCAUACGACCUACGGGUGAAAGCAGGGGAUCUUCGGACCUUGCGCGAUUGAAUGAGCCGAUGUCGGAUUUGCUAGUUGGCGGGGUAAAGGCCCACCAAGGCGGCGAUCCGUAGCUGGUCUGAGUGGAUGAUCGGCCGCACUGGAGCUGAGACGCGGUCCAGGCUCCUACGGGAGGCAGCAGUGGGGAAUAUUGGACAGUGGGCGCGAGCCUGAUCCAGCCGUACCGCGUGGGUGAAGAAGGCCUUCGGGUUGUAAAGCCCUUUUGUUGGGAAAGAAAAGCAGCAGGUUAAUACCCCGCUGUUCUGACGGUACCCAAAGAAUAAGCACCGGCUAACUUCGUG